rnacentral:rRNA from 1 species
GGAAAGAUGAAUCAAAGAAGGUAAUAAUCCUGUAGUCGAAAAUGUUGUCUCUCUUGAGUGGAUCCUGAGUACGACGGAGCACGUGAAAUUCCGUCGGAAUCUGGGAGGACCAUCUCCUAAGGCUAAAUACUCUCUAGUGACCGAUAGUGAACCAGUACCGUGAGGGAAAGGUGAAAAGCACCCCGGAAGGGGAGUGAAAUAGAACCUGAAACCGUGUGCUUACAAGUAGUCAGAGCCCGUUAAUGGGUGAUGGCGUGCCUUUUGUAGAAUGAACCGGCGAGUUACGAUUUGAUGCAAGGUUAAGCAGUAAAUGUGGAGCCGUAGCGAAAGCGAGUCUGAAUAGGGCGUUUAGUAUUUGGUCGUAGACCCGAAACCAGGUGAUCUACCCUUGGUCAGGUUGAAGUUCAGGUAACACUGAAUGGAGGACCGAACCGACUUACGUUGAAAAGUGAGCGGAUGAACUGAGGGUAGCGGAGAAAUUCCAAUCGAACCUGGAGAUAGCUGGUUCUCUCCGAAAUAGCUUUAGGGCUAGCCUCAAGUGAUGAUUAUUGGAGGUAGAGCACUGUUUGGACGAGGGGCCCCUCUCGGGUUACCGAAUUCAGACAAACUCCGAAUGCCAAUUAAUUUAACUUGGGAGUCAGAACAUGGGUGAUAAGGUCCGUGUUCGAAAGGGAAACAGCCCAGACCACCAGCUAAGGUCCCAAAAUAUAUGUUAAGUGGAAAAGGAUGUGGCGUUGCCCAGACAACUAGGAUGUUGGCUUAGAAGCAGCCAUCAUUUAAAGAGUGCGUAAUAGCUCACUAGUCGAGUGACACUGCGCCGA